GAACUUUCCAGAGAUGGAUUGGUGCCUUCGGGAACUUAGAUACAGGUGCUGCAUGGCUGUCGUCAGCUCGUGUCGUGAGAUGUUGGGUUAAGUCCCGCAAGAGCGCAACCCUUUUCCUUAUUUGCCAGCGUGUCAUGCCGGGAACUUUAAGGAUACUGCCAGUGACAAACUGGAGGAAGGCGGGGACGACGUCAAGUCAUCAUGGCCCUUACGGCCAGGGCUACACACGUGCUACAAUGGUCGGUACAAAGGGUUGCUACCUCGCGAGAGGAUGCUAAUCUCAAAAAGACCGAUCGUAGUCCGGAUCGCAGUCUGCAACUCGACUGCGUGAAGUCGGAAUCGCUAGUAAUCGCGGAUCAGAAUGCCGCGGUGAAUACGUUCCCGGGCCUUGUACACACCGCCCGUCACACCAUGGGAGUUUGUUGCACCAGAAGUAGGUAGUCUAACCGCAAGGAGGACGCUUACCACGGUGUGGCCGAUGACUGGGGUGAAGUCGUAACAAGGUAGGCGUAGAUGA
rnacentral:rRNA from 1 species